AUUACCGAGUUUACAACUCCCAAACCCAAUGUGAACGUUACCAAACUGUUGCCUCGGCGGGAUCUCUGCCCCGGGUGCGUCGCAGCCCCGGACCAAGGCGCCCGCCGGAGGACCAACCAAAACUCUUUUGUAUACCCCCUCGCGGGUUUUUUAUAUCUGAGCCAUCUCGGCGCCUCUCGUAGGCGUUUCGAAAAUGAAUCAAAACUUUCAACAACGGAUCUCUUGGUUCUGGCAUCGAUGAAGAACGCAGCGAAAUGCGAUAAGUAAUGUGAAUUGCAGAAUUCAGUGAAUCAUCGAAUCUUUGAACGCACAUUGCGCCCGCCAGUAUUCUGGCGGGCAUGCCUGUCCGAGCGUCAUUUCAACCCUCGAACCCCUCCGGGGGGUCGGCGUUGGGGAUCGGCCCUUUACGGGGCCGGCCCCGAAAUACAGUGGCGGUCUCGCCGCAGCCUCUCCUGCGCAGUAGUUUGCACACUCGCAUCGGGAGCGCGGCGCGUCCAUUGCCGUAAAACACCCAACUUUCUGAAAUGUUGACCUCGGAUCAGGUAGGAAUACCCGCUGAACUUAAGCAUAUCAAUAAGCGGAGGAAAAGAAACCAACAGGGAUUGCCCCAGUAACGGCGAGUGAAGCGGCAACAGCUCAAAUUUGAAAUCUGGCCCCUCGGGGUCCGAGUUGUAAUUUGUAGAGGAUGCUUUUGGUGAGGUGCCGCCCGAGUUCCCUGGAACGGGACGCCACAGAGGGUGAGAGCCCCGUCUGGCUGGCCACCGAGCCUCUGUAAAGCUCCUUCGACGAGUCGAGUAGUUUGGGAAUGCUGCUCAAAAUGGGAGGUAUAUGUCUUCUAAAGCUAAAUAUUGGCCAGAGACCGAUAGCGCACAAGUAGAGUGAUCGAAAGAUGAAAAGCACCUUGAAAAGAGGGUUAAAUAGUACGUGAAAUUGUUGAAAGGGAAGCGCUUGUGACCAGACUUGGGCGCGGCGGAUCAUCCGGGGUUCUCUCCGGUGCACUUCGCCGCGUCUAGGCCAGCAUCAGUUCGUCGCGGGGGAAAAAGGUUUCGGGAACGUGGCUCCUCCGGGAGUGUUAUAGCCCGUUGCAUAAUACCCUGCGG
rnacentral:rRNA from 1 species